rnacentral:rRNA from 1 species
UACGAAGGGGGCUAGCGUUGCUCGGAAUCACUGGGCGUAAAGCGCACGUAGGCGGGUUGUUAAGUCAGGGGUGAAAUCCUGGAGCUCAACUCCAGAACUGCCUUUGAUACUGGCAAUCUUUGAGUCCGGGAGAGGUGGGUGGAGCUGCGAGUGUAGAGGUGAAAUUCGUAGAUAUUCGCAAGAACACCAGUGGCGAAGGCGGCUCACUGGCCCGGUACUGACGCUGAGGUGCGAAAGCGUGGGGAGCAAACAGG